UCUAAACUCGCAAACAAAUUAUUUGUGUAGUUGCAAAAAAAAACUGUUUGAAUAACUUGUCUUUUGGUUUACAAUAACAACAGUCAUUUGCAGCGACAUCAUUCGUUUGUUUGCUCCUGGCUUUUUCAGUUUCGAUUCUGGCUCUCGCGUUUGCGCUGCCUGUUUCUUUGCUUGCGAUUCUGGCACAAACUUCACAUGUGGGUGGGUGUCUGUGGGGUGCAUUCCUAUUGGCUGAUGCGUUUUGACUGACAGCUUUACUAUGGAUUCAAGCGCAAGAGCUACCCACCUCCCCCCCUCCCCAGUAGGUAGUGGUGCAACGCUCUUUUUGGCCACUAUGUACAGGUAUAUGCGAUGUGGCGCUAUUGAGCACAGUAUGUCAACCGCCAUAUGAAGAAGAAGAAGAUAUUGACCACAGUAAGUUCCGUGGAGCUAGCUACACCAAAGCCACCGAUGGGCUACACGCGUUAUGGACUCAAAACAAUGGGUUUUCCUCACUACUCAUUAAUCCAAGAACAACUCAUCGUGAUGGAGCACCUGUACUCCCUGAUACAGCAGGAUCUGAGGGGAUUCCUCAGACAGGACGCAGAUGUGGAUUGACAACAUCCUGCAGUUUAACUUUAUUAGAAUAAGUGUUGUUUUGAAUAAAGAACAAUAAAAUUGUA